GAAUAUAAGGAGAGAAGCUCCCAGCGUUCCUGUUGCCUUUAGUACAUCUCAGCGUGUUGGGUCAGCCGGAUGUGGUCAAAGGGCUGCCUGUGGGGUCGCCGUGAAAUCCACGCUUCAUGCACAGUGUUCCUUCACACAGAUGUCCGAUUGGUGAUAGGUUUUGGAGAAAAGGAGAAUAUACAGACCAGAGGACCUAGCAAGGAUGAUAUCUGUUUGCCUUACAUCACUCAACAGAAACAAAGACAACACCUUUUGGCCCAGCAGCAAAAACAAAGGAAAUUCCUUAUUUGGGGAUGAAUUUAAGAAAGUGAGCAAAUAAGUU